UGACUGCAUGGAAAUUCAAAGCAUGCUUUUACAUUACUUUGAGAUUAGACUUUUCUAACCAAAAUGAAAAUUAAUUUUACAGCUUUCCUAGCUUUUGGAAAUGAAACUACCAGUAGUGCUUCAAAACACACAGCAUCUAUUCUAGGGGAGAACUCCUGCAGUGCCUUGUGGUUCCUCUCCUGUGGUGGACAAUGCUGCUCUUUGUGUCCCUUCAUUCUACAGUAAUGGAAAGAAGGCCAAGAUACAGAUUUUACACAGUCCUUCUGUGAGUGGAAGAAGUUCUGUGGGCUGGGAUCCAGAGUAAGUGGCAGCACACUGCCAAAAUGAGCAGAAACCCACAUGCCAGCAAGAUCCUGAGGGGCUGGGAAAAACUAAUCAGUGGAUUACCUCAGGAAAAUACCACCCCAGUAGCUGAGAAAGGUGAUGGAGAAGAAGCCAGAGAAAUGAAAGGCAUCAACUCUACCAAAGGAGAUUCUGAAAAAUCAAAGCUCAGGAAACAUAAACUGCAAAGAGAAUGGAAAACUCCAGCUGUACGGAAGAGAGCAUGAAAAGAACACUGAUGACUUACAGAUAUCAUUAUGGAAGCAGCAGUGUAAAAUAAAAAUAGUCUUGUAACAUGCAUAUUUGAUUAACAAAGUGAUCUUGUACUUCAGUUGUAAUAAACUAACAGACGUAUCUCACUUGCCUAAGCAGUACUCAGGACUCAUCACUACCCAUGGAACAAUUGUAGGUUCUGUAGUAAGAUAAUGAAAACUCAGAUGGUCUCUCAGUAUUAAAAUUUAAAUAGCUAUCAAAGCAUAUAUUUAAAUAUAUUGUAAAAUGGGUUGCUACUACCUACUACGUAUCUCAUAUAGUCUUUAACAACUAAAAUAAAAGGUUUCCGAUCACUCGAUUAAGUAACUUUAGUCCAUGUCCUCUCAGUGAUUCUAAACAAUAACAAUCAAAACUGUGUCUCAGUCAUAAAGCUCAUUGUACAGACAAUGAUCAAGGAAAUCUGCCUUUGAAAUACUUCUAUGAAGCUAAUAAUUGCAAAAGAACUUAUUGAAGUCGUUUCCUCCUAUUCUAAUGUUAGACAGUGUUACUGAAAUUUGUUUCCAGCUCUUUCAGGGACAAGUCUACCAGAUAUGACCAGAUACAACACAUAUGCUUAUGUGCAGUCUUCCUGAAUUCUUGUAAUCUGUACCUUUUCUUUGAACAUAAAAUGCAGAACAUUUCCUUCCAUGAUCACAGUUUUACCCAUUUAUUUUAAUACAACUUCUAACAAGUGAAUGGAAUUUUUAAAAAUUACGUUGAUAAAAUAAGUGUAUUGUUUAUUAAAAAGAAAAAAAAAGUUUGGAAUCAGGCAUUUGUGUUUAUCAGAAAGUAUGACAGAUAUGGGCUAUUUCAUUCCUUUAAAUAGAUGAAGAAUAAAAAAGAGAAAACUGAAAAAGUCUUAGUGGGGUUGUUCUCUAGCAUAAAGAGUUAAAGUCAGUUUGUGCUGGACAUACAUUGGUCUUGCUUGCGAUCAUCGUCCACCUGGGUAAUGUGAGCCAAUGCAAUUUUUUGCAUUACAGAAUGAUGUAAGGAAGUAUACAACACAGACCAAUGUUUGCUUGCUUCAGAAUGUUUACUUGCCUCACUGGGUCAGGAGGUUAUGCAGACUGGAGCCAAAACCUGUAAUUUGAAAGGAUAAAGCUGGUAAAGAUACUUAUAGGAUAUGCAUGAGAUAUUACAGCACCAGUAUCCAACAGUGAGGAUAUUUUGUUGAGCAUAUUUAUGCAUCUCUUUCCAUUGUUCACUCUGAUAAUUGCUGAAAGGCUGUGAUAAUUAUGGGGAAGUUACAUUACACUUGUUUAAUGAGAAAAAGAUUUUGCAUAGGUAGCUUUUAGGCUACUUACUGUGCACAAAAGCUGAUGCCUUUUGUUCUGGGGAAACUAGGAGUUCUGGAAUGUAAAAAUAAAAUAAAAUAGAGAAGGCCUUUGUAGGAGAGCUGCAGGAAUCUUUCUCUACUGACUGAUUAGUAGAACAUUAAAAGAAAUUCAGGUACUGAGAUGUGGUAGGAUACUGGCAGGCUGAAAAUGGUAGCAGUAAAUGGAAAUAGUAAGCUCAUACUGUUCAAUACAAAUUAUAAAAUCAUUUAUUCUGAACCUCUGGACACUGUAAAUUAUUUAUUUUCACCCAGUUACCCUUCAGAAACUUAGUUCAUAGUGCUUGAUGAAGAACUGGAUGUCUUUGACCAAAGCACAGUUUCUGAUAUACACUCAGUAUGUAUUUCUUUGAAUGAGAAAUGAGUACUUUUAUGAUGACCUUUUUUUUUCCUUCUUUUUUUUUUUUUUUCCUUCUGUUUUUCCUAUUGAUCCAGUCCAUCUAGCUGUUAAAAAUGUGGUGUUUCUUUUUUUUCCUUUUGUGUUUUUCUGGCUCUACUCCAGUUUCUAGGCAUUGUUUCUAUUUCUUUCUCCACAAGAUUAAAAAAAAACUUUUCUGAUGAGGAAAUGGCUAGGGAGCACAAUCUAGCAGUGCGAACACUGAAAAUGUCUUUGUCUAUUAUAUUCACAGUGCAGAAAGAAUGUAUUUUUGAGUCAUGAUAAUAUCUUCCACAUCAACAGAACUAUUCAUCAAAGGAGGCCUCUAUCUUGUAUUCAUGUUUGUCUUCACCUUGGCACUUAACUCUAAUCAAAUGAUUGAGAGCUGUAAGUAUUUUAGCGUUUUUACUUUUUUUAAUGAACACCAGAAUGGUAGUUUUUACUAUAACUUUUCAAAAUGUGGACCCCUAAAUUCAAUAAAGCAAUUUGCCAGCAACUUCACAAUGUACACACAUUUCCAGCCAACUGCAGUGAAAAAAAUUGCUACACUUUGAAAGAUUCUUCCUCAUUGUUCACAUGAGACUGUGGUAAACUUUGUGCAAAUUAAUUUUUAUUUCAUAUCUCUUCUAGAUCACUGAUGAAAAUAUUGAGUAGCGUUAGAAUUAAUGUAGUGGGUAUAGUACCCCAAUGGCUUCACUGGAUGAUGAUGCUGUAUUAGUUCCUGUGGUUUAUCCACCUACUCUGGAAUUUCCUAGCCAAUCCUUCAUGUGUCUAAAUGAUAAUGCUGGCUUGACAAAUACAAUGUUAAACAGAACUCAAUUACUUAGGAAAAAAUUGUGCAGAUGACCUCGUCUACUUAGUUAUCGUUAUCAAUCGACAAUUGUCAUGAGACUUGUCUCACUCCUGAUGAAAGCUCCAUGUUGAAUCAUUUUCAUUUUGGUUAUCAUCACCCAUUCAGAUCCUUUGCACACUCUUCAAUUAGUUCCUGGGCAACACAGAUGAAUGAAAAUAUUCCCCUCAUUAUAUACCUCUUACUGCUUCUCCUUCUAAAUUAUUCUGAAUCUGUCAGACUACCCUUCCUCUUCUGCAGAUGAAAUAAUUCAUUAACCUUUUAUCUUUUUAGGCUUUAUGUGGAAUAUAUUCUUAUAAAGGCAAGGUUUGGAAAUUAUUUUUUUUAACAUAUUUACUAAGCUUAACUGAGAUAACACUUUAAGGGAAAAAAGAUCUAGAAGGAUCAUAAUGGAAGGAGAAAAAAAGAUAUUAAAAAAAGAAAAACAAACAAAACUUUUUUUAGGAAUUGUUUUUGGAAUACAGUUUGAUAAGUUAUAAUCAAAGUUACUGAUACGAUGCAUAAGCCUUUCUUUGUGCAUAGUUGUAAAAGAAUAAAAAGGAUAUAUUAUGUAAGCAUACAUGAAAAUGUGUAAUUCAGGUAUCAUUGAGAUGGAAUGCCUUGAGAUUUUCAAUUUAAAACAGGAUUGAAUUCUCUGUUUUAUGCUUUCACAGUGAAAACUACACUAUUUCAUUUACCACAUUUAGUGCUAAGGGUGUAACUGAAUUUAAUGAGUAAUUCUUUACCACAUUAUUUUUCAACCUUGCUAAGUUUCCAAGAAAACAUAUAAAAAUAUAUAUAUAUAUGUUUUAUAAUUCA